rnacentral:lncRNA from 1 species
CAGCUGGGUUCCUUGGAUCGUCUUCUGGAAUAUUCCUCUCAAUUUUACCGACAAGGUCAGCGCCGACAUCAGCUGCCUUAGUGUAGAUCCCACCACCAACACGGCCAAAGAGAGCCAUGGAAGAUCCACCAAGCCCGUAACCAGUAAUAGCCUCAAAAAGACCUUCCCAGUCAUCUCCGUAAUAGAUCUUGAAGACAUUGAUGGUAAUGUAAAGCACCAACAGACCACUGGCUGCAAGAAGGAAUCCCAUCACAGCACCAGACCUGAACGCAACAAUGAAGGCCUUUCCAACACCUUUCCUUGCUUCCAAGGUGGUUCUAGCAUUGGCGUACGUGGCAAUCUUCAUUCCGAGGAAACCAGAUAGAACAGAGGUAACAGCACCAAGCACGAAAGCAACAGUGCUGAAAGCUGCAGUAGCCAAUGCAGGCUUGCAAGUUCUGGUGGUGUCGUAAGUGCAAGCCUUGUUCUCAGUGCUGAAUCCCUCAACAGAGCCGAGGAAAACAAAGAUAACACCAGCAAAGAAAAUCAUGAAGACACCAACAUACUUGUACUCCGUGAACAAGAAUGAAGUUGCACCU